CCCACCAAUCAGUCACUCUCCUCAAUUCUCUCACCCAAUCAGAUUUUUCUUCUCCUCAGGCAAUCAUAAAGCUUUCUCUUUCUCUUUCUCUCUCUCUCAUCUUCUCCUUCUCUCUCUAUCCCAAGACCCUCUCCUCUCUGCAACACACAUACACCACCACCAAACUUCACAGAUCAAGCUUGCAACCAUUACCAUUGUGUUCCUCUCGUCCCCACGAACACAUAUGUACCAACCAAUCACGAAAUGGACGAGGUUUGAGUGUUCAACUCGAAGCAACUCGGAAGCUCCGACUCGGGGGUGAUUUUCCAUUCGAGUUCCACAUUUUUAGAAGGUUUGGAAGCAUUUAGGCGACUCCCCGAGACCACUAGCCUAGCUUUGAAGUGGAGCAGAUGAGGAAAACCACGGGUUUAAGACAACAAAAGUAAGGUCGAGAGUCUCAAGUCUAUUUUGAUCCAUUCCUCGUCCAUUUUUGGACUUUUGGAAGAAUCCAGCCAAAUUCUCUAGUUUUCGACGAACCAGAUGAUGGCGACAGCGGCGGAGCUCCAUCGGAGAAUAAGACAAAAUAUUUUGUCAGACUUAAUGAAAUAUUAUGACGCCGUUAAGGUUAACGGAAUAUUCAGUCAAAUCUAACGGAAUAUUCCUCUGUCAGUCUGUUAAACGUGUCAGACGUGUGUGGCCGUGACCUGGUGGCGCGUGACGGCGUGUCCGGCCACCGGCCAACUUGUACAGGUCCAUAUCGUCGAGUAUAACGUUUUCGUAUAUUUACACCCUAUGUUUAAGCAAACUAUGGGGGUUUGUCCUAGCCUUUUUGUUUAUGUCCUUAUUAAUUAAUUAGUUUAGUUAUUUCCCACAUAAGUGAGACUUAUCCCGAGGACGUACGAGGUCAAGUAAGGUAAGGAGGCUACGAUCCGACCACGUAUCAGUGAGUGGGCAUUUGUUUUUAUAUAUAUGAUAUAUAAAGUUUUAUAGUUUCCACAAAUGCUUUUGGAUUGAUUUAUGCAUAUCAUGCCAUGAUUAAAUAACGUUAUAAGAAAUGUUGUAUUGUUGUGAAAUGCUAAAAUAAUCAUACGGGACGCGCAUGUAAGUUUAUUAUGUUGACUAGAAUUAUUGAAUCGUUAUGGCAUGCUUAUAUUUAUGUAGUUUGUUUAUCAUUGAUGCACUUGGUGUUAGUGCUCGCCCAGGAUGUAAUACCCCGUAUUUAAAAAAAAAGUUAUAUAUAUAUAUAUAUAUGGAUGUAUGUUGGGUAAUUAUUUUUACGUAAUGAUUUUAUUUGAUUUAUUUUUAUGCAAGAACUUAUUUUUCGUAUGUAAAAUAGUUUCAAUGUAAAAUCCUUUUUUCCUGCAAAUUAUUUCAAAACCUAGUUAGUAGUAUUUCAUGUUCAUAUGUAAUUAGAGAUAUUUUUAGUUUGAAUUGGAGGAGGGAGAUUAAAUGAGUUUGGUUUGAUUUUCCUCACAAAGGGCCAAGAGUUUGAGGUUGGACUGAAUGAGUAGUUUUGUUUUGUUAUUUUCUCUCAAAGAUGAGGUGGAGAGUUUGUAGCAUUAGGAGUUAAUGAUUUGGUGAUUACUCACCACUCUAAAUGUGAAGGUGGAAGUCUACUUAAGGGUGAGUUGGCAAGUUUGUAUUCAUUAGGAAUCUAAGAGUUAAAUGUUUGGUGAUGAUUCAUCCCUCCAAAGUUUGAAGAGGUGGGAUUCACAUUCCUUAGAGAUGAACGUGGCCUUGGAUGCUUGUAUCCACCUUGCAUAAUAUUGAUUAACUUCACACAUGUCUCUUUGCCAUUUGAACACAUACAAUCAUCAAUGAUUACCUUAACAUUUGGUGUGUUUCUAUUGGAACACAUAUUAGAGCUAAGGUUUUGCUUAAUAUUUGUUGUUUGUCUAUUGGAUCACAUUUCAUUGUUAAUGAUGAGAACAACACUUGGUGACUUGGUAUUGGAACACAUAUCAUGGAACUACAUUUGGUGAUUUGCUAUUGGAACACAUGUGCCAUGAAUCAUGAAGAAAAGAAGCAAAAUAAGGUCAAUCUAUACGUAUAGAGCUUCAAAGAGAGGGAAUUCAAGGGAAGGAACACAAACACUCAUUAUUUAAAGGAGGAGGAGAGAGCACGGAGAGAAGGAAGAAAAGAGGAGCAACAAUUGUCGUUCUCAUAUCAUUGUUUUUUUUUUUUCAUAUUUUGUCAAGGCUUCUUAGCCAUUGUCAUGUAUUCAUAAAUUCUCAUUACCUAGUGAAAUACAAAUACAAACACAACCCUAGUGGACGUAGCUAAAUUGGUGAACCACUUUAAUCUUG